rnacentral:rRNA from 1 species
GACAUAGGUGGCGAACGUUAUCCGGAAUUAUUGGGCGUAAAGGGUGCGUAGACGGUUUGGUAAGUUAGCAGCGGGAAAUCGAGGCCUAACCUCGUGGAAGUUGUUAAUACUUCCAUACUAGAGUGCAGGAGAGGUUGACGGAACUCAAUGUGGAGCGGUAAAAUGCGUAGAGAUGUGGAGGAACACCAGUGGCGAAGGCGACUUUCUGGUCUGUAACUGACACUGAGGCGCGAAAGCGUGGGGAGCAAACAGG